UCUGGUAACUAUGGCAAGAAGGUCACACCCGUUCCCAUCCCGAACACGGAAGUUAAGCUUCUUAGCGCCGAUGGUAGUUGGGGGCUCGACUUUCGUCCCUGCUCGACUUGUAGGUCUCGCAGUCA
rnacentral:rRNA from 1 species